AACCGAGAGAGGUGAGUCAUUUCCCCUAAAACCAAUAUGUGAUGAAGAAUAUAUACUUAAGUCUUUUAUGAGAUGCAAAACUGUAUUUAGAGUGAUCGUUGUUGCGAUCCCUCAAACAAAAAAUAUAUAUAUAUAUAUAUAUAUAUUGUCACACGGGGAUGAACCGUAUUACCAUUUUGUCCUUGGAAGCCUUUAUAUAAGGCUACUCCGUCUAUUCUCACCAUGCAAGCUUUCACUUGAGCCCUCAGAAGAAUAUUACUAUCCUUCUAGAAUAUAAACUGCUGCCUCAAUGGAGUCCAGUAUCCUUCCAGUUUUAGUCUUCUUUUGUCUUGCACUGGUAGGAAGCCAUGCUUCUCUACCUUCUAAGGUCUACUGGCAGUAAGUUUUGCCAAACACUCCCAUGCCGAAAGCUGUUUAGGAUUCUUUGAGCUCUGAUGAUACGAAGUUCUUCAACCCUCCUAAUCUUGGCUUGAGCAAUGAAAAACUUGAGGGCAUGGAAAAUGUUGACACCACUUUUUUCAUUGAAACCGAUUUGCGUCCGGGAAAAAAAAUGAAGUUGCACUUCACCAAUACUGCAAAUGGGGCAACUUUCUUACCUCGUCAAGUGGCAAAGUCCAUUCCUCUUUAAAGUGACAAGUUACCGGAAAUUCUAAAUCGCUUUUCUGUAAAAGAAAAUUCUGUAGAAGCAAAGGUAAUAAAAAGCACAAUUAAGAUGUGUGAGACACCAGGCACUGCUGGAGAAGAUGGUGUAUGUGCAACAUCCUUAGAAUCAUUAGUAGAUUUUAGCGUUUCGAAGUUGGGAAAAAUGUUCAAGUACUUUCAACCCAGGUGCUAAAAGAAACUAAGAAGCAAGAGUAUCGCAUAACAGGAGUGCAUAGGAUUAAUGCAAACAAAGGGGUUGUGUGUCACAAGCAAAACUAUGCGUGUGCUGUUUUCUAUUGCCAUGAAAUCCAUGACCCAGGGACUUACAUGGUUCCAUUGGUGUCCUCUGAUGGGACAAGAGUAAAUGCAAUAGCUGCUUGCCACACUGAUGCAUCAGUUGCAAACGCUUUUAAGGUGCUCAAAGUUAAGCCAGGAACUGUCCCUAUAUGCCACUUUCUUGCUAGUGAUACCCUUCUCUGGGUUCCUAAUUCGAUGUAUAAAGAAAGGCUCUAGACCAAGCUUCUUGUAUUUCUAGUGUGUGUUAUAUAAUGCCUGCAUGCAGGAGGGAAAAUAACUAAAUAAGGGGAAAUUAUGCUAUAAUAGUAAAACCUCCCUGCUACUAUGCAUGUUUGUAAUUAUAUGCUUCUUUCAGUUUUAAUUGCAUUUAAAUCUUGGCAUUGUCAAA